AGAAAACCAAACAAAUCACUUUCAUCUUCAGAGCGGAGAUGGAUGCUUUCACUGGAUCUGUCACCUGCAAAGCCUUGGAGGGAGCACCCAGAAAUAAACAUGAAGUUGUUUGGAUCAUGGGAUUAAAAGACCAGGAUAAGUCAAACCUUUCCAAAAUGCAUGAC